rnacentral:rRNA from 1 species
GGAUCAUUACCGAGUGCGGGUCCUUUGGGCCCAACCUCCCAUCCGUGUCUAUUAUACCCUGUUGCUUCGGCGGGCCCGCCGCUUGUCGGCCGCCGGGGGGGCGCCUUUGCCCCCCGGGCCCGUGCCCGCCGGAGACCCCAACACGAACACUGUCUGAAAGCGUGCAGUCUGAGUUGAUUGAAUGCAAUCAGUUAAAACUUUCAACAAUGGAUCUCUUGGUUCCGGCAUCGAUGAAGAACGCAGCGAAAUGCGAUAACUAAUGUGAAUUGCAGAAUUCAGUGAAUCAUCGAGUCUUUGAACGCACAUUGCGCCCCCUGGUAUUCCGGGGGGCAUGCCUGUCCGAGCGUCAUUGCUGCCCUCAAGCCCGGCUUGUGUGUUGGGUCGCCGUCCCCCUCUCCGGGGGGACGGGCCCGAAAGGCAGCGGCGGCACCGCGUCCGAUCCUCGAGCGUAUGGGGCUUUGUCACAUGCUCUGUAGGAUUGGCCGGCGCCUGCCGACGUUUUCCAACCAUUUUUUCCAGGUUGACCUCGGAUCAGGUAGGGAUACCCGCUGAACUUAAGCAUAUCAAUAAGCGGAGGAAAAGAAACCAACCGGGAUUGCCUCAGUAACGGCGAGUGAAGCGGCAAGAGCUCAAAUUUGAAAGCUGGCUCCUUCGGAGUCCGCAUUGUAAUUUGCAGAGGAUGCUUUGGGUGCGGCCCCCGUCUAAGUGCCCUGGAACGGGCCGUCAGAGAGGGUGA